rnacentral:rRNA from 1 species
UAAGGAAUAUUGGUCAAUGGGCGCAAGCCUGAACCAGCCAUGCCGCGUGCAGGAAGACGGCCCUAUGGGCUGUAAACUGCUUUUAUCAGGGAAUAAACCCCCGCUCGUGAGCGGGGCUGAAGGUACCUGAAGAAUAAGCAUCGGCUAACUCCGUGCCAGCAGCCGCGGUAAUACGGAGGAUGCAAGCGUUAUCCGGAUUCAUUGGGUUUAAAGGGUGCGCAGGCGGAUUGGUAAGUCAGGGGUGAAAUCCCACAGCUCAACUGUGGAACUGCCUUUGAUACUGUCAGUCUAGAGUAUAGUUGAAGUGGGCGGAAUGUGUCAUGUAGCGGUGAAAUGCUUAGAUAUGACACAGAACACCGAUCGCGAAGGCAGCUCGCUAAGCUAUAACUGACGCUCAUGCACGAAAGCGUGGUGAUCAAACAG